rnacentral:rRNA from 1 species
CCUACGGGAGGCAGCAGUGGGGAAUUUUGGACAAUGGGCGAAAGCCUGAUCCAGCAAUGCCGCGUGCAGGAAGAAGGCCUUCGGGUUGUAAACUGCUUUUGUACGGAACGAAACGGUCUGCUUUAAUACAGUGGGCUAAUGACGGUACCGUAAGAAUAAGCACCGGCUAACUACGUGCCAGCAGCCGCGGUAAUACGUAGGGUGCGAGCGUUAAUCGGAAUUACUGGGCGUAAAGCGUGCGCAGGCGGUUAUAUAAGACAGUUGUGAAAUCCCCGGGCUCAACCUGGGAAUUGCAUCUGUGACUGUAUAGCUAGAGUACGGUAGAGGGGGAUGGAAUUCCGCGUGUAGCAGUGAAAUGCGUAGAUAUGCGGAGGAACACCGAUGGCGAAGGCAAUCCCCUGGACCUGUACUGACGCUCAUGCACGAAAGCGUGGGGAGCAAACAGGAUUAGAUACCCUGGUAGUCCACGCCCUAAACGAUGUCAACUGGUUNUUGGGUGCNUAUAUCAUACGAGACUACGCGNGAGUAGACGCCGNGGAGGACGGCGCGAGUAGUUAAGUUAAGUAGUUAGUUAGUAGNGNGNGAGNGCGAGACGACGACGAGGAGGAGG